CUCACAGAAGUCAAAGGAACAAACCUACUGGUCACCCCCCAAAAUUACAGCGCACACAGGCUCUGCUCUGGAGGUUGGGUUAAGAGAGUACCAGGAUCCGGUGGGUUGGACCAGCCAGGGUAGCCUUCCUGAAAGAGGUCCAUUCUGACAGGAAAGCACUUUCAGCCAUUACACAAACACAGAUUACACAAUUUGCAGUCAGGAGAUCCAGGGUGGAAGUUGGAGUCUGACCUCAAAUGUGGAUGCUACCGAUCUCCUGGAUUCCCCAGCCAUGAAAACAAAACACAAUCAAGCCCUGCCUUUGUAGCCUUAUUAACUGAAUUGUCCAGAUGGAAGUCUUGGGUGGACACAAUUCAUUGUCUUCUUGCUUGCUACUAUUCUACUGGCUGGAGGCACCACAGGAAGACUCUGCAAGCCCAGCACCCAUCCUUCCCUCCCUCUGCUUCCUAACCAUAUAUAGGAAGAUACCGAGGGCCUCUUCACCUUAGCCUGCUGCCCCAAGUCUUCACAGAGCUGGAGAGGUGGGCAGCACCAGCAGGGACUGAGUGGAAUAGGAAUCAACUCCUUGCACAUCAGAGCAGCUUCCUUUGGAGGUCUGUGAGGUUUCCAAGUCAAAUGCGGGGAGCAGGAGACACAGCGUGGGCGUUCCGAGGGAGCACAAGGAUGACGGAUGCCUCUGUUCCUCCACAUUAGCAAUGCACAUUGCGUAGAAUUAACUGCAAGCUUCCCUGAGAAGAGGGGGACUGGGCAGAGAAGAGUUGGAACGAUCUGAAUGCAAAAUGCAACUUGGUUUCUAAAAUGAGUGUGGUGGACAUAGAUCAUCUGCUGAACUUCCUUUAACCUUCGGCUCCCUGGGUGCAAAUGCUGGGACAUAACUCUUCAAAUUAGCCAGCCCAGUCUACUCAUGUUACUGAAACCUCGGAGAAACAAUGCAGGGGUUUAGUAUUCAAACAGAGUCCAAGGAUCUGCACAGGGCACAAAGGGCCUGAAUCUGACCCACACCUUCUUUUCAGAUACUUUCAAAACAAUGUAUUUAUUCAUGUAUGUGAGUGUAUGCUCAUGCACGCAUGCACGUACAUGCGCGCGCACGUGUGUGUGUGUGUGUGUGUGUGUGUGUGUGUGUGUAUGUGUGUGUGUGUGUGUACACAUGCGCACACAAUAGUGUAUGUAUGCACAGAGACAGAAUAAGGCAUGGGAGGUCCUCUAUCACCACCCAUCUAUUCCCUUAAGGGAGGCUCUCUCCUUAAACCUGGGGCUCCCACUUUCUCCCUUAGCCUAAAAGCCAGUAAACCCCAGCUCUUUCUCCUCCACUUCAGAGCUGGGGUUACAGGUGUGCCCCAGAAGCACAGCUUGUUACGUGGGUGCUGGGAUCCGAAUCCCACUGGACUGCUGAGCCAUCUCUCCAGUAUCCUUUGCAGUCUUACCAGCACGUCACAUCUCCCGGGGCUAAACAGGCCUUGCGUCCAUUUUUGUACAUAAUUGAAAAAAAAAUUGGAUGCCAGGUUAUUAUUUUUUCUUUUAUGCAUCUCUCUUCUCUCUCUCUCUCUCCUUUCUCUCUUUCUCUCUCUCUCCUUUCUCUCUCCUCACUCUCUCCUUUCUCUCUCCUCACUCUCUUUCUCCUCUCUCUCCCCUCUCUCUCUGGAAUCCAGCUUUCUGCUUUAAACCUCUGUGCAUGGAGAUGCUUCAGGGCACGAGAGCCACAUUUUCUGAAAUGCCAUUCUUGAGGUCAGGAUUACAAAUGCUCACCUAAGCCAUCCUUUCCCUUAGGAAUCUGUUAGCUGGUGGGCUGUGUUGGUGAGGAGAGGGGGGGCCUUCCAGGGGUCAGGGUACUCUCACCUUCAGACAUUUCAGACUUUUCACCUCUUAUUUUUUGCUGUUGUUUUUUGUUUUGCUUUGAAAUAGUAUGUCAUUGACCUGGAAUUCUGUAAGCAGCCUGGGCUUACUGGCCAGCAAGCCCAGGCGUCUGCCUGUCUCUGCCCCCCACCCCCAGCACAGGGAAUGUAGGUGUGUGUCAGCAUACACAGACCGUGUUACCUGGGUUUGGGGAGGAGCGACUGAGCUCAGGUAAGAAAGCUCUUGGGUUGUGGUGCCAGGGAGACCUUUGUCCAAAUCCAGAGGCAGCUUCACCAACAACUUGACCUUGGUCCCAGCAGUGGGGCAUACUGACCGGGUACAAGCAGCCUUUGACUCCUGCUUAGCUUCAGGAAAGUGGCCUGGGCCUGCAACCCUUUCUUUCCAGGAGAUAAGGUACACUGAGGCUGAGUGGAGCUCAUCACGUUCCCGCAACCACCCUUCCCCUGUUGCAGGCUCGAAGUGUGCUCCUUUGUUCUGCUUAAGCUUGUGCGUCAUGUGGCUCCUAGCCAGCCCGCCCUGCGAGAUCUCUUCCAGGUGGAGAGGGAAGGAGGCCUUUCCCUGCAGCACGAAGGCUGCUUUGUGAAGGCCAUCAUCCUGGGUUCGUGGCCGACAGAGACCCCUGGUCUCAGGGGGACAGACACCCGCUAUUGAAAUAGCUCUUGCUCCGUCUCUUCUCCGUGUGACUAAAGCGUGAUUCCAUCUGG